UACAGAGGGUGCAAGCGUUAAUCGGAAUUACUGGGCGUAAAGCGCGCGUAGACGGUUAUGUAAGUCAGAUGUGAAAGCCCCGGGCUCAACCUGGGAAUUGCAUUUGAGGCUGUGUAGCUAGGGUGCGGAAGAGGGAAGCGGAAUUUCCGGUGUAGCGGUGAAAUGCGUAGAUAUCGGAAGGAACACCAGUGGCGAAAGCGGCUUCCUGGUCCAGCACCGACGUUCAGGCACGAAAGCGUGGGGAGCAAACAGG
rnacentral:rRNA from 1 species